rnacentral:lncRNA from 1 species
AUGGAACACGUGCACGCCCUCCUACCGAGGAUCUCGGCGUCACAGCAGGCCUUUGUGCUAAUGGAGUGGCUCUGCAACACUUACUUAAGUCGGGGGUUCCUGGGAGACCCGGACUUCAGUGAGAACCAACAGAGGAGUCCCGUGGACAUGCACCUGUACUCUGAGACGGUCGUAUGCGUCCACAAAAUCCUCCGGACCACACUGGAGGAGGAUGUCGAGAUGUCCCUGGAUGUCAUCAUUAAGCGCCACAAAUCAGAGUUUUGGAGGUCCUGGGAACUACACACAGACGUCAUUGAGUGCAUUGAAGGACCAAUUGUCAGAGCGGAGUCCGUCAGUGAGAACGUGCAGGAGUUCACCCGGCAGGUCUGCUUCCUCAAACUCCAGGAGUUUCUAGAGAGGUAUGUCGCCCUUUUCUUGCUGACGAUUGGUGUUUCCAUGGUACAAUUGUGGCUUUGCAAGAUGCUAAAAGCCACAAUGAUGGCGAAAGCCAGGUUUGCAGUCAGGUUCUUUGGCUGUCAAGAGGCCUAAAUGAGUCCUCCUUCUGGCUGUAGGUUCACGACGGCCAAACAGGAACUUCUGAAAAGAUACGACAAAUCUCCCAAGAUGACCGUGGAGACCUCCCUCAAGACACUCAACACACUCCAAGGCCUUGUGUGAGUAAAGGCCCAUGCCUCAUGCUACAUGCUAGAGCUUUCUGCUCAAAGCUCGAGGGAUCAAACCUUGAGCAUUCCAGCCCAUUUCUGAUAUGUGUUCCGCUUAAGCAUGUCUGAUGUUAGCAUUUCUGAAGCAUGUGAGCAUGUCUGGUAUUGUAUUGUAUGCAUGUUUUGUAUCUACAGUAUAAUAGAUACAAUAUACAUCAAAAAAAUAUAUAGUAGGAAUUAGAAAGUGUCACAGUAUGUCAAUAAUAGGCCCUUGUUCUGCAGGAGCUACAUCCAACCCUCCACUGAUGGAGGAACCCGGGACCUCCCAGCGGAGGAGACCCUGCGCGCACUGAGGGCAUUGGAGACCGACGCCAGGACCUCCAUGGGAGAGGCUCUCGUUACGAUCAUCAAGGUGCAGAGAAGAACCGCUACUGUUGUAGUGUUGUUAGCCAGAAGUUUACGUCCUCAACUAAUACCGUGCUGACC